GACGAACGCUGGCGGCGUGCCUAAUACAUGCAAGUAGAACGCUGAAGGAGGAGCUUGCUCUUCUGGAUGAGUUGCGAACGGGUGAGUAACGCGUAGGUAACCUGCCUGGUAGCGGGGGAUAACUAUUGGAAACGAUAGCUAAUACCGCAUAACAUUGACUAUUGCAUGAUAGUCAAUUAAAAGGUGCAAAUGCACCACUACCAGAUGGACCUGCGUUGUAUUAGCUAGUUGGUGGGGUAACGGCUCACCAAGGCGACGAUACAUAGCCGACCUGAGAGGGUGAUCGGCCACACUGGGACUGAGACACGGCCCAGACUCCUACGAGAGGCAGCAGUAGGGAAUCUUCGGCAAUAGACGGAAGUCUGACCGAGCAACGCCGCGUGAGUGAAGAAGGUUUUCGGAUCGUAAAGCUCUGUUGUAAGAGAAGAACGAGUGUGAGAGUGGAAAGUUCACACUGUGACGGUAUCUUACCAGAAAGGGACGGCUAACUACGUG
rnacentral:rRNA from 1 species